UACGUAGGGGGCAAGCGUUGUCCGGAAUCAUUGGGCGUAAAGCGCGUGUAGGCGGCUCGAUAAGUCUGCUGUGAAAGUCCAGGGCUCAACCCUGGAAAGCCGGUGGAUACUGUCGGGCUAGAGUCCGGAAGAGGCGAGUGGAAUUCCUGGUGUAGCGGUGGAAUGCGCAGAUAUCAGGAGGAACACCGAUGGCGAAGGCAGCUCGCUGGGACGGUACUGACGCUGAGGCGCGAAAGCGUGGGGAGCGAACAGG
rnacentral:rRNA from 1 species